AGCCUGUACGAGCACACAGUCAUGAAACAAGCAGCAAAAAUCAAUGUGGACCCUCAACAUCCCCUCCUUUCUGAAAAUGGACCUCUACCAUCAGGAAGAAGAUUCCUUGACUUGUUCACAACUCGGCAGGGCACUUUUUAAAGUAUUUUUACGAUCUCACGUGAGCUCCUCUUCCACCCCGUCUGCAGAGGGGACACCGCCCUGUCUGGCCUCUGUGGCGACCUGAGGUGCACCGUGAUUGGCUGAAGCAGGGAAACUGCAAUGGGAGAAACCGCGAGUGGCAGACAGGCAUAGCCAGACAAAAACACAGGGCGGCCUGCCAGCUACUGUCCCUGAGGGAUGAGGACUAGAGAUCGAGAACACGGACUGAGUGCCUGGCUGGCUGCUGGACAAAAUGAGCUGUUUUUAACUACAAGGGGAGUGGGUCCUCUUCCACGGAGGCUGCCAUGUUGACCCAUCAUGUUUCUACAGUAGCCCAGAAUGGACAAACCAAACACCGGUUCUUGAUAGGGUCCUCUGUGUUUUUUAGAGUUGAGUUGAGUUUCAUGAGUUUUGUGGCCGCCGUAGUUUAUUGCUACAUGCUUUGAAGGGAGACCAAGUAAACAUUUCAGUUUAUGGUCACAAUUGCUGGUUUCAAGUCUUCUUCCAUAUGACAUAAUGUACAUUUUGUAAAUUAUGGUCCCAUUAAGAGUAAAAUAAGAAUACUUUAGGGCGUGGCUACCUUGUACUGGACAAGUCCCUACCAUGGCAUGUCCUGAGGGCUCUCAGUCAGAAGAGGUGUAGCGAUGCCUAUCCUCCCUCACCUCGAAACUAUUCCAAAUAUGGCUCCAAAUGUGGUUGCCAGAACUCAAGGCUUCAAAAAAACAAUGGGUGAUGUCAUGGUGGGUGUGAACCUAUUGUGACGUCAUUCAUUGGUUUGUCGAGUACUGAUUUGUGUAUAAUAUGUUUUAAAAUCACACCACUAGCUUAGCAUUGGUCAUAUAACCAUAGUCAUAAAGUGCUGCUGAAUCACCUGGGAAGGGCAGGAGCUACUAGAGAAGAUCAGAAAUCAUGUUCAACUCAAACAAAUAAAUAAAAGUACAGCGCAUCAGUUCUAACUUUUUUAAACUGUGAGAACACAAAACUUGCUAUUAUAUGUUAUUGUGAGUUUCUUUUUUUCCUCCUGCAUUUUUAAUGAUGAUCAGCAGAUCACAGCGAAAAGUUCUGUAAUCUGUCUUCUUGUUCUUCUUAGGUCCUUGUUUGUUUUA